GGAGCGGUGGGUGAGUGGCUGAAACCAACGGUUUGCUAAACCGUCAUACUGGGAAACCGGUAUCGAGGGUUCGAAUCCCUCCCGCUCCGCCA
rnacentral:tRNA from 2 species